CUCAAGAGCGUCUACUGGGCCAUUUCGCCUGCACCUCAAGCAUUCUCAUCAUUAAAAUUCUUCUGUAGGUUCUGAAUCAUGUCUGUUUGGGUCACAAUGAUGUAUAACACUCCCAAUAUUCCCUCUUAGAUCAAAGGCAGUAACUAUGAGCAGAAAAGUUCACAGAGGAUCUAAGCAUCCAGAGGAAAUCUCAGGAGCUGAUACUUGCCCUAUCAGUGUACAACAAUGCUCAUCACAGGGAAGCGGAAAAUUCUAGAAGAUGAAAAGAUGGUCCCAAAGAAACACUUCAUCCAGGUUUGACCUCGCUGGGAAGCCUCUUUCUCUACCUCUGCUUGAAGUAAACAGUUUCUGAUGUGAAAGGAGCUUGUGCUGACCGAAUACUAGGUCAGAAGUCUCAGAGAAAGCAGACAGGGCUGUAGCUCUGCCCGGGAUGCCUUAAUAUUCCCCGGACAUUCAUUUAUCUGCCUUCUAAAGUGUACUUCAGGAUGCGCUUUCCAAUAAUAACAGGCACCGGGGCAUACCGAAACACAGUCAACUUCGACUUCUUCCUCACAGCUUCUAAACACCCAGAGUCAAGAAAAUGAUGCAUUAGAAGGAAUCCAAGUCUAGAAGAUACUAGCGAGUUUUAUUUAACAUUUGGGGGGGCGGGAAAUGAUGACACUAUAAGUCUAAGCAAAGGCACUUAACAAACUUUUCGCAAAACCUCUUGCAGCCAUUUGAAAUAAGAGAAACACCAUUAAAUAUUAGUGUAAAUUGU